rnacentral:rRNA from 1 species
GGUUGCUCUGGUUGCUCUAGACAGCAGGACGGUGGCCAUGGAAGUCGGAAUCCGCUAAGGAGUGUGUAACAACUCACCUGCCGAAGCAACUAGCCCUGAAAAUGGAUGGCGCUCCA